rnacentral:rRNA from 1 species
AGAAUCAACGCUGGCGGCGUGCCUAACACAUGCAAGUCGAACGAGAAAGUGGAGCAAUCCAUGAGUAAAGUGGCGCACGGGUGAGUAACACGUGACUAACCUACCCUUGAGUGGGGAAUAACCUAGGGAACCUGGGCUAAUACCGCAUAACACCUACGGGUCAAAGGAGCAAUUCGCUUAAGGAGGGGUCGCGGCAGAUUAGCUAGUUGGCGGGGUAAUGGCCCACCAAGGCAGUGAUCUGUA